GGGGGUGUAGCUCAGUUGGUCUAGAGCGCGGUCCUUUUAAGUCCGGCGUCGCGGGUUCGAAUCCCGCCACCCCCACCA
rnacentral:tRNA from 1 species